CUGAUGGAGGGGGAUAACUACUGGAAACGGUAGCUAAUACCGCAUAACGUCGCAAGACCAAAGAGGGGGACCUUCGGGCCUCUUGCCAUCGGAUGUGCCCAGAUGGGAUUAGCUAGUAAGUGGGGUAACGGCUCACCUAGGCGACGAUCCCUAGCUGGUCUGAGAGGAUGACCAGCCACACUGGAACUGAGACACGGUCCAGACUCCUACGGGAGGCAGCAGUGGGGAAUAUUGCACAAUGGGCGCAAGCCUGAUGCAGCCAUGCCGCGUGUAUGAAGAAGGCCUUCGGGUUGUAAAGUACUUUCAGCGGGGAGGAAGGCGACAGGGUUAAUAACCCUGUCGAUUGACGUUACCCGCAGAAGAAGCACCGGCUAACUCCGUGCCAGCAGCCGCGGUAAUACGGAGGGUGCAAGCGUUAAUCGGAAUUACUGGGCGUAAAGCGCACGCAGGCGGUCUGUCAAGUCGGAUGUGAAAUCCCCGGGCUCAACCUGGGAACUGCAUUCGAAACUGGCAGGCUAGAGUCUUGUAGAGGGGGGUAGAAUUCCAGGUGUAGCGGUGAAAUGCGUAGAGAUCUGGAGGAAUACCGGUGGCGAAGGCGGCCCCCUGGACAAAGACUGACGCUCAGGUGCGAAAGCGUGGGGAGCAAACAGGAUUAGAUANCCUGGUAGUCCACGCCGUAAACGAUGUCGACUUGGAGGUUGUGCCCUUGAGGCGUGGCUUCCGGAGCUAACGCGUUAAGUCGACCGCCUGGGGAGUACGGCCGCAAGGUUAAAACUCAAAUGAAUUGACGGGGGCCCGCACAAGCGGUGGAGCAUGUGGUUUAAUUCGAUGCAACGCGAAGAACCUUACCUAC
rnacentral:rRNA from 1 species